rnacentral:rRNA from 1 species
AGAGUUUGAUCAUGGCUCAGAUUGAACGCUGGCGGCAUGCCUUACACAUGCAAGUCGAACGCGAAAGUAGGGGCAACCCUGCAAGUAGAGUGGCGAACGGGUGAGUAACACAUCGGAACGUACCCAGGAGUGGGGGACAACCUCGAGAAAUCGAGGCUAAUACCGCAUACGUCCUGAGGGAGAAAGCGGGGGAUCCGCAAGGACCUCGCGCUCAUGGAGCGGCCGAUGUCGGAUUAGCUAGUUGGCGGGGUAAGAGCCCACCAAGGCUACGAUCCGUAGCUGGUUUGAGAGAACGACCAGCCACACUGGGACUGAGACACGGCCCAGACUCCUACGGGAGGCAGCAGUGGGGAAUUUUGGACAAUGGGGGAAACCCUGAUCCAGCCAUGCCGCGUGAGUGAAGAAGGCCUUCGGGUUGUAAAGCUCUUUCGGCCGGAACGAAAUCGCGUACGUGAAUAACGUGCGUGGAUGACGGUACUGGAAGAAGAAGCACCGGCUAACUACGUGCCAGCAGCCGCGGUAAUACGUAGGGUGCGAGCGUUAAUCGGAAUUACUGGGCGUAAAGCGUGCGCAGGCGGUUCUGCAAGUCAGAUGUGAAAUCCCCGGGCUUAACCUGGGAACUGCGUUUGAAACUACGGAGCUAGAGUGCGGCAGAGGGGGGUGGAAUUCCCGUGUAGCAGUGAAAUGCGUAGAUAUGUGGAGGAACACCGAUGGCGAAGGCAGCCCCCUGGGCCGACACUGACGCUCAGGCACGAAAGCGUGGGGAGCAAACAGGAUUAGAUACCCUAGUAGUCC